AAUUCUCAAUCUUCUUUGGAUUUUUUCAUUGGAGACUUGGAUGUGAGGGUUUGCCGGUUGUUCAAUCGGCUCCCUUUAAAUGUGUUAGCGUUGCCUCAGCCGAUCGAACGCCCCUCGGUAUGAUAAUUAUCUAUGCCGUGUCGGGGAUCGCACGAGAGUAUGCUUCUAACAGUCCCUCUUGGGGGACAUAUUCAUCAUA
rnacentral:misc_RNA from 2 species